rnacentral:tRNA from 1 species
GGCACUGUAGCUCAAAGGUAGAGCGCCCGUCUCAUAAGCGGGAGACUGAGUUUCGAGUACUCACGUUGCCA